rfam:Proteobacteria bacterium SG_bin4 337, whole genome shotgun sequence.
GAAGCCAGCUAGACAGUCGCCGCCUGGCGUUCUUUUCGAACGCAGGGGGAGGAAAGUCCGGACUCCACAGAGCAGGAUGGCGGCUAACGGCCGCCCGCCGUGAGGCGAGGAAUAGGGCCACAGAGACGAGCGUAUUCAGUUACGGUGAAACGCGGUAACCUCCAUCCGGAGCAAGACCAAAUAGGCAGGCGAUGAUGUGGCUCGCGGAGCCUGCGGGUGGGUUGCUUGAACGCACGGGCAACCGUGCGUCUAGAGGAAUGACUGUCCACGACAGAAUCCGGCUUACCGGCUGACUUCACUG